GUGGCGCACGGGUGAGUAAGGUAUAGUUAAUCUGCCCUACACAAGAGGACAACAGUUGGAAACGACUGCUAAUACUCUAUACUCCUGCUUAACACAAGUUGAGUAGGGAAAGUUUUUCGGUGUAGGAUGAGACUAUAUAGUAUCAGCUAGUUGGUAAGGUAAUGGCUUACCAAGGCUAUGACGCUUAACUGGUCUGAGAGGAUGAUCAGUCACACUGGAACUGAGACACGGUCCAGACUCCUACGGGAGGCAGCAGUAGGGAAUAUUGCGCAAUGGGGGAAACCCUGACGCAGCAACGCCGCGUGGAGGAUGACACUUUUCGGAGCGUAAACUCCUUUUCUUAGGGAAGAAUUCUGACGGUACCUAAGGAAUAAGCACCGGCUAACUCCGUGCCAGCAGCCGCGGUAAUACGGAGGGUGCAAGCGUUACUCGGAAUCACUGGGCGUAAAGGGCGCGUAGGCGGAUUAUCAAGUCUCUUGUGAAAUCUAAUGGCUUAACCAUUAAACUGCUUGGGAAACUGAUAGUCUAGAGUGAGGGAGAGGCAGAUGGAAUUGGUGGUGUAGGGGUAAAAUCCGUAGAUAUCACCAAGAAUACCCAUUGCGAAGGCGAUCUGCUGGAACUCAACUGACGCUAAGGCGCGAAAGCGUGGGGAGCAAACAGGAUUAGAUAC
rnacentral:rRNA from 1 species